rnacentral:rRNA from 1 species
UACGAGUGGUGCGAACGUUAUUCGGAAUCACUGGGCUUAAAGGGUGCGUAGGCUGCUGUAAAGGUCUGAUGUGAAAUACCACGGCUCAACCGUGGAACGGCAUUGGAAACCAUACAGCUUGAGUGAGAUAGAGGUAAGCGGAACAGAUGGUGGAGCGGUGAAAUGCGUUGAUAUCAUCUGGAACACCGGUGGCGAAAGCGGCUUACUGGGUCUUUACUGACGCUGAUGCACGAAAGCUAGGGGAGCAAACGGG